rnacentral:rRNA from 1 species
GAUGAACGCUAGCUACAGGCUUAACACAUGCAAGUCGAGGGGAAACGCCAUCGAAAGCUUGCUUUUGAUGGGCGUCGACCGGCGCACGGGUGAGUAACGCGUAUCCAACCUGUUCAUCACAUGGGCAUAACCUUGCGAAAGUAAGACUAAUACCCAAUGAUAUCCCACGAAGGCAUCGGAAUGGGAUUAAAGAUUUAUAGGUGAUGGAUGGGGAUGCGUCUGUUUAGCUUGUUGGCGGGGUAACGGCCCACCAAGGGAACGAUAAGCAAGGGUUCUGAGGGGAAGGGCCCCCACAGGGGAACCGGGCCACGUGGCAAAGACCUACGGGAGGCAGCAGUGAGGAAUAUUGGUGAAGGGGCGAGAGCCUGAACCAGCCAAGUAGCGUGCAGGAAGACGGCCCUAGGGAUGGUGAACUGCUUUUAGAAGAGAGUAUAGUGGGUCACGGGUGACUUUGUGAAGGUACCUGAUGAAGAAGGACCGGCUAAUUCCGUG